AUUCGAUUAUUCCAUCUCCGUCCUUAUAAAGAGACGGGUAACUCACGACUGCUCAGCAGAGACGUCCACAUCACCUCUAGAUCUCACAGUGCUCAUUUUGUUGUCUGUGACAAAAGUUUUUUUUGGGGAUCUGACAAACAAACUGUGGAAAGGAUGAAGGCUGUUAUGAUCUUUCUGCUGUUGAUUCUUGUCAAUGCCGUCCUCACGGAUGAACCUGAGGAGGAUAGUCCUCCACGUCGAACAUUCCCAUGCGUACUUGGAGGUAUAAGAUUUGGAUGCAGAGGGAAAAUUGGAAAGACCCAAUACAAAGUGGCCGAAGAUAGACUGAGGCGAUACUAUGAAGACUGAGUCUGUUCUUGAUUUUGAAGAUAUAGUCUGAGCUAUAUCUUUGUGCUUUGCAAAGCAACAAAUAAUUGGAUGAGUAAAUAUGAAGCUCUUGAGAUGUAGUGAUUUUAGUCACAGCUCCAACUGAUGUUGAAAAAAGUAAAACUGCUUGAUAGUGAAAACUAUCCUGCUGAAUAAAGCUGCAUUCCAAAAGAC